GCAGAGUCCUGACUCAUGGCCUGGGAUGCUGGGGUUCCUCCCCAAAGAAGCUCUUUUGGACCUGGGAGAAGGAGUAGGACUUUGAUACACCAUGGAGGGCAAAUGGGACAAACAAAACAGUCAAAGAGGAGAGCAGGGAGAGAAGACAGAUUCAGUGUUGCCCUCGGCAGAUGCAGAGGAAACGAGCUCAAAACCCUUUCACAUGUGCCGGGCGCAAGCGACGCUGCCCAGAAACCCCGCGCCAACCCCUGCAGCCGAGGAAUUGGAGCUUCUGUGUUACUCAAAACAAUGCAUCUGUCUUUCAUUACACUUGGAUUUAGAUGAAAUCGGGGCGCUUGUUGGCAAACCAGUGAAGAUUUCAAAUAAGAGAAAUUGUAUUAUAUUAGAAUCAUAACGUUUUAAAAAUAAUUCUGUAUUGAAGGAAGUUUUUAAAGAAUGGCUAAUGGUGCCUUACAUGCAAUGAAGCCCUUUCAUUCAUUCUUUCCCCCUGUCCCCCCAUUCUCAUCUUCACUGUCCUAAAUGAGGCCUCCCUGGCCCCUUGCCUGGGCCGUCACAGAGGCCUCUGAGUGAUGUUUCUCCUCCCAGCUUUCCCCUUUCUGCCAGGCUCCCUCCCUCCAGUUAGCUUCCCGAAGCCUGGACAGGGUGAACCGUCUUGAAGGCUUGAAUUUGAGCCCCCUCCUUGCUCACCCCACGCUGGGCCAGCACCUCUCCCCUGGGUUACCCUAGUGCGCUGUGCUUACCCGGAUCUCAACACUUAUCACAAGGAUGGAGGUUUG
rnacentral:lncRNA from 1 species